GUCUGUACCUCACCGCCUCACCACAGGGGUGCCCCAAGGCUCGGUGAUGGGACCACUUCUCUUUGCCAUUUACACCACUUCGCUGGGCCCUAUCAUCCGCUCGCAUGGUUUUUCCUAUCAUUGCUAUGCCGAUGAUACUCAACUGUUUCUGUCUUUCCCUCCUGAGGACACCACUCUCUCGGCGCGGAUCUCGGACUGUCUUGCUGAUAUAUCCACAUGGAUGAAAAAUCACCACCUUCAGCUGAACCUGGCCAAAACGGAACUGAUGGUCUUUCCAGCCAAACAGGCCAUCCACCACAACAUCAGCAUCAAUAAUGACUCCUUAUCUCUUGUUCCAUCCAAAACAGCAAGAAACCUCGGGGUCAUUAUUGAUGACCAACUGACUUUCACGGACCACAUUGCCUCUGUCUCUAGGUCCUGCCGCUUUGCGCUAUUCAACAUCCGCAAAAUCAGGCCGUACCUAACCCAGUAUGCCACCCAGCUGCUGGUGCCAACCUUGGUGAGUUCCCGCCUUGAUUACUGCAACGCCCUCCUAACGGGCCUGCCGGCUUGCAUGGUGAAACCACUACAAAUGAUCCAGAACGCGGCGGCGCGUCUGGUGUUCAACCAACCGAAAAGGGACCACGUCACCCCGCUACUCAUUGACCUCCACUGGCUGCCUGUAGCUGCUCGCAUUAAGUUCAAGUCACUUAUGCUUGCCUACAGAGUGCUUGAUGGUUCUGCUCCCACCUACCUAAAUGCUCUUGUAAGGGCAAAUGUUACACCCAGGAUGCUGCGCUCUUCUAGUGAGCGUCGUUUGGCACUGCCGUCUGUGCAAGUACGGCAGUCCAGACUAUUCUCAUUUGUAGUUCCACGUUGGUGGAAUGAACUACCCAGCACUACCAGAGCAGGGGCGUCCCUCUCUACCUUUAAGAAGCUUUUGAAGACCCAACUCUUCAGAGAGCAAUUCCCGUCCUAGUGCGUAACUUGCAAUUACAGCAGUUACAUUCUGCACUUCUUUUUCUUUUUUAUUUCAUUUUGUUAUAUUUCUUAUGUAAAGUAGUAUUUAUUGUUACACCAGGUUCUAUUGCUCGUAGCUUGACUAUUCUCUCCCUUGUACGUCGCUUUGGACAAAAGCGUCUGCUAAAUGACUAAAGGUAAAUGUAAAAUAUGUGCUAGGCAUCAGCAUCUGUGUCUGUGUCACAGUGGUAAAACAUGUUGACUCUACAUGUUUGUCAGAGCCAUGACGAG
rnacentral:lncRNA from 1 species